rnacentral:rRNA from 1 species
AUACGUAGGGUGCGAGCGUUGUCCGGAAUUACUGGGCGUAAAGAGCUCGUAGGUGGUUUGUCGCGUCGUCUGUGAAAUUCCGGGGCUUAACUCCGGGCGUGCAGGCGAUACGGGCAUAACUUGAGUACUGUAGGGGAGACUGGAAUUCCUGGUGUAGCGGUGAAAUGCGCAGAUAUCAGGAGGAACACCGGUGGCGAAGGCGGGUCUCUGGGCAGUAACUGACGCUGAGGAGCGAAAGCAUGGGUAGCGAACAGGAUUAGAUACCCUGUUAGUCCAUGCCGUAAACGGUGGGCGCUAGGUGUAGGGGUCUUCCACGACUUCUGUGCCGUAGCUAACGCAUUAAGCGCCCCGCCUGGGGAGUACGGCCGCAAGGCUAAAACUCAAAGGAAUUGACGGGG